UGUUGUUAUUACAGUAUAUGAAGAAUGAAGAAGCAAAGAAGAUAAGAACAGAGAAAGUUGCAGUAAACGGUGUUGCAGUCUGCACAAACUGUGGCAUGAAUGGUCACACAGUUGACAAAUGCUACAAAAUUCAUGGCUUUCCUCCUGGAUGGAAACCUAAAAGCCAACGUCCAAACUCCAACCAGAAGUUCUUAUCACCAGCUUCCACAAAUCUUACUAUCACUGAUUCUGUUUCAGAAAUUGACAAAGGUGAUCAGAUUCAACAUUUGGUUUCUUAUUUGAGUUCUAAACUGCAGCCUCAGAUGACACCAACAUCCACGGUGCUACUUCAGGUGUGAAACAAACUAUCUGCCAAUUUAGUGGAUUGUACUCGGGCAUUGAUGAUUGUACUGCAGAAAAAGCUCUAUCUUUUGGACCUGCAAUUUCAACCAUCAAAUCAAGUUUCACCAACUGUUUGUGCAACCAUCAAGAACGAUUUCAAGACAUGACAUCAAAGAUUGGGUCUUUUGUCAAAUCAAAAGCUACGUUCUCUUUCAGAAUUAUUAUCUACUUCAUUUUCUAAGAGCAUAACUCCAGAUCAUUGUAAGGAUUGUCAUCUUGCUAAGCAAAGACAUCUGCCCUUUGUAAACAGAAACAACAAGACAAAUAAAGCUUUUGAUUUGAUACA